CAGCCGCCGCGGUAAAACGAACCGUGCGAACGUUAUUCGGAAUCAUUGGGCUUAAAGCGCGUGUAGGCGGAUGGGAACGUCGGUCGCUGAAAUACCCCGGCUCAACCGGGGAACUGGCAUCGAAACGACCCGUCUCGAGGGGCAUAGGGGGAGCUGGAACUUCCGGUGGAGCGGUGAAAUGCGUUGAGAUCGGAAGGAACGCCCGUGGCGAAAGCGAGCUCCUGGAUGUCUUCUGACGCUGAGACGCGAAAGCUAGGGUAGCGAACGGGAUUAGAUACCCCUGUAGUCCCUGUCUCUUAUA
rnacentral:rRNA from 1 species